GCUUUAAAAUGACUAUAAAUAGAAGGAGACCGACUUCUACUUCUUCUAUUAAUUGAACGACGACUAUGCGAAGAAGGUGGAGGAGUCCGACGUUUAAAUGCAGGACUACCAUCACCCGAUCUUCUAGUAGUAGACUCACUUGCAAUCUUCUUAUUGUUGCUUGCAAUAUUGUUGGAUCAGGCAAACCACAGUAUUCCAAGGGCAAUGGAUAAUGGAUUCUUAAGGUUGUUAUAUUCGAGAAUACUUGUUUUACCUCCAUAGAGAUUAAUUUUAUACAUAUUGCUUGUAUUUGAUAUUAUAUACUACAUUGUGUUACAUGGUAUUAAAAAAAAUGUUUCACUAUAUAUAUAUAUGUAAAAAU